rnacentral:rRNA from 1 species
UACGUAGGGGGCGAGCGUUGUCCGGAAUCAUUGGGCGUAAAGCGCGUGUAGGCGGCUCGGUAAGUCUGCUGUGAAAGUCCAGGGCUCAACCCUGGGAUGCCGGUGGAUACUGUCGAGCUCGAGUCCGGAAGAGGAGAGUGGAAUUCCUGGUGUAGCGGUGAAAUGCGCAGAUAUCAGGAAGAACACCAAUGGCGAAAGCAGCUCUCUGGGACGGUACUGACGCUGAGACGCGAAAGCGUGGGGAGCGAACGG